AUUGAACGCUGGCGGCAGGCCUAACACAUGCAAGUCGAGCGAGCGGCGGACGGGUGAGUAAUGGAUGGGGACUGCCCGAUAGAGGGGGAUAACUACUGGAAACGGUAGCUAAUACCGCAUACUAUCGGAUAACCCAUAUGGGAUUAGCUAGUAGGUUAGGUAAUUGCUCACCUAGUCGACGAUCCCUAGCCGGUCUGAGAGGAUGAUCAGCCACACUGGGACUGAGACUCGGACCAGACUCCUACGGAGGCAGCAGUGGGGAAUAUUGCAAAAUGGGGGCAAGCCUGAUGCAGCCAUGCCGCGUGUAUGAAGAAGGCCCUAGGGUUGUAAAGUACUUUCAGUCGGGAAGCGUUACCGACAGAAGAAACACCGGCUAACUCCGUGCCAGCAGACGCGGUAAUAC
rnacentral:rRNA from 1 species